UCACUGGCAGGUGGCUCCUGCACCUAUGCCGGCUCCUGCAAGCGCAAGGAGUGCAAAUGCACCUCCUGCAGGAAGAGCUGCUGCUCCUACUGCCUCGUGGGCUGUGCCAAGUGUGCCCAGGGCUGCAUCUACAAAGGGGAGUCAGAGAAGUGCAACUGCUGUGCCUGAUGCCAGGACAGCCUUUCUCCCAGAUGUUAAUAGAGAGACAGGUAUAAACUUGGAUUUAUUUUUUUUAUACCACCUUGACCAAUUUACUACCUUCCUUUUCCUAUGAAAUAUGUGAGUGAUAAUUAAACACUUCAGACCUGA